UACGUAGGGGGCAAGCGUUGUCCGGAUUUAUUGGGCGUAAAGAGCGUGUAGGCGGCCAGGUAGGUCAGCUGUGAAAACUCGAGGCUCAACCUCGAGACGUCGGUUGAAACCACCUGGCUAGAGUCCGGAAGAGGAGAGUGGAAUUCCUGGUGUAGCGGUGAAAUGCGCAGAUAUCAGGAAGAACACCCGUGGCGAAGGCGGCUCUCUGGGACGGUACUGACGCUGAGACGCGAAAGCGUGGGGAGAGAACAGG
rnacentral:rRNA from 1 species